GCCUGCGCUGGUCCGGGAGAGGAACGCUGCUUGUCAGCGACUGGGGAGAUUUGUAAGACUGCUGGAUACGCUCCCAAGUUGGUCAGUGGGUAAGUAAAUUGAAGACUAGAUUAUCCUCGGCGAUUAUGUGAGUGGAACAGCUUGAUAAUGGUCUUUUCGUAAGUUUUUCUCAAGGAGCUCUCAGGAUUCACAUCCAGUCGCAAUGCUCGUC